rnacentral:rRNA from 1 species
UACGUAGGGUGCAAGCGUUAAUCGGAAUUACUGGGCGUAAAGCGUGCGCAGGCGGUCCCUUAAGUCUGAUGUGAAAGCCCCGGGCUCAACCUGGGAAUUGCGAUGGAGACUGCAAGGCUUGAAUCUGGCAGAGGGGGGUAGAAUUCCACGUGUAGCAGUGAAAUGCGUAGAGAUGUGGAGGAACACCGAUGGCGAAGGCAGCCCCCUGGGUCAAGAUUGACGCUCAUGCACGAAAGCGUGGGGAGCAAACAGG